AGUCCUCUGUAUACGUGCUGAGAUUCCGUCACACACCAGACCACAAAGGCCGAUCAGACUCCAAAGAUAAGUGAAGCA
rnacentral:pre_miRNA from 1 species